GCCAACCACCAGCACCUCCCCCACUAGCAUGCCUUUCUCUUCAAGUCCCAGCGAGGAGCACCCGCCCUCCUCCCCACCCUCGUCUCUCAACAGAUGGGAGGGCCUGGACAGACUGAGAGAGGAACUGAUGAAAGAGAGAGAGAUAGAGAUUGAAGAGAGAAUUGCAAGUAUAAGAGAGGAAGAAAGGAGGAAACUAGAUGACGAAAAACAGAUGGAGUUUGCAGAAGCGGUGAAAGCUUUGGCACAGGACAAGGAAAGGGUUAUUGAAGAUUUAAAGAUUAGGAUUCAGCUUCUAACAGAUGAAUGUGACAGAAGAAGAGGAGGAGGAGGAGGAGGAGGAGGAGGAGGAAGAGAGGAGGAGGAAGGGAGAAAUGUUGGAGGACAGAUAUUGCAAGAAAAUGUUGAAUUGAAGAAUGAGAUCAACUCACUGCAGAAACAAGUCAGAAAUUUGGAAAUUGAACUGGCAAGAGCAAAACGGUUUUCAUUUGUGACGCAGCAGAGCACCACCGCCACCACCACCACCACCACCACCGCUCUGCUGCUGCUGCUGCCACCGACAUGACAGCCUCCACAGCCUCAAUGACUGUUAAUGAAGACACAAGAGAGAAUUUGCCACACCAGGCCAGCCCACUCCUGUCUCAUGGUACCAUCACCUUUAAUUCCUGGCUGACUGGGGACACACUGUUGGUGGUUUGGGGAUG